rnacentral:rRNA from 1 species
GGCCCGCACAAGCGGUGGAGCAUGUGGUUUAAUUCGAUGCAACGCGAAGAACCUUACCAGGGUUUGACAUAGUACGAAGUUUUUUGAAAAAAAACCACCUUCGGGAACGUACAUACAGGUGGUGCAUGGCUGUCGUCAGCUCGUGUCGUGAGAUGUUGGGUUAAGUCCCGCAACGAGCGCAACCCUUGUUUUUAGUUGCCUUUUAUGGAACUCUAAAAAGACUGCCGGUUAUAAACCGGAGGAAGGUGGGGAUGACGUCAAGUCAGCAUGCCCCUUACACCCUGGGCUACACACGUGCUACAUUGGGCGAGACAAUGAGAUGCAAAUCUGUGAAGACUAGCU